AGCAGCCGCGGUAAUUCCAGCUCCAAUAGCGUAUAUUAAAGUUGUUGCAGUUAAAAAGCUCGUAGUUGAAUUUCGGGGUUAGUAAGUUGGUCAUGCCUUCGGUAUGUACUGGCUUUACUGAUUCCUCCUUCUUGACGAACCGUGAUGUCAUUAAUUUGGUGUUGCGGGAAAUCAGGACUGUUACUUUGAAAAAAUUAGAGUGUUUAAAGCAGGCUAACGCUUGAAUACAUUAGCAUGGAAUAAUGAAAUAGGACGUUCGAUCCUAUUUUGUUGGUGUCUAGGAUUGACGUAAUGAUUAAUAGGGAUAGUUGGGGGCAUUAGUAUUCAAUUGUCAGAGGUGAAAUUCUUGGAUUUAUUGAAGACUGACUACUGCGAAAGCAUUUGCCAAGGAUGUUUUCAUUAAUCAAGAACGAAAGUUAGGGGAUCGAAGACGAUCAGAUACCGUCGUAGUCUUAACCAUAAACUAUGCCGACUAGGGAUCGGAUGAUGUUAAUUUUUUAAUGACUCA
rnacentral:rRNA from 1 species